UACGGAGGGUGCAAGCGUUGCUCGGAAUUAUUGGGCGUAAAGGGUAGGUAGGUGGUCUUAUUUGUCUGGGGUGAAAUCCUUGAGCUUAACUCAAGAAGUGCCUCAGAAACGGUAAGACUAGAGUCCUAGAGAGGGUCGUGGAAUUCCAGGUGUAGCGGUGAAAUGCGUAGAUAUCGGGAGGAACACCGGUGGCGAAGGCGGAUCUCUGGGCCUUACCUGACGCUCAGGCGCGAAAGCUAGGGGAGCGAACAGG
rnacentral:rRNA from 1 species